rnacentral:rRNA from 1 species
UACGUAGGGUGCAAGCGUUGUCCGGAAUUAUUGGGCGUAAAGAGCUCGUAGGCGGCUUGUCGCGUCGGCUGUGAAAACCUGGGGCUCAACCCCGGGCCUGUAGCCGAUACGGGCAGCUAGAAUUCGGUAGGGGAGACUGGAAUUCCUGGUGUAGCGGUGAAAUGCGCAGAUAUCAGGAGGAACACCGGUGGCGAAGGCGGGUCUCUGGGCCGUUACUGGACGCUGAGGAGCGAAAGCGUGGGGAGCGAACAGG